rnacentral:lncRNA from 1 species
CGGAAACCUAACUUAGUUGAUUGGAGAUCCCAUGGUCUAAGUUCAAUAGGCAAACUGGUUAGGCAUGAUUCAAAGAAGUUAACACACUAUAUACCUCAUUCCUAUGAUGGAAGAAGUGUGUUGUCUGCAGAAGUUUUAGGGUGUAUAUUUAUACUUAAUGACAGUGAUAUCUUAUAAAUAAGAGGAAUAGAGCAGACUAUUCUUAAUCAGUGGUCACCUAUGUGAGAGUAGACAUGGGUCGCUUCUAUGAGAAUGAGAUGGCUAAAUUCUCUAAAGCUCUCAUGAAUCCGGGAUUUGUUCAGGACCAAAAUGAACACAACCGUAUGAACCGUAAUAUAUUAGGAUUAGUGAUGUGUGUUGCUUAUUGUCUCGGUUUACUACUGCGGUGAACAGUUCAAGAUUUU